CUGCCCAGCAUUGAACUGGGCACCUGAACUUCAGAAAGCUGACCAAGUUUUAAGAAGGAUCAAGAUUGGAGACGAGGGACCUGCGUUCCUCUCCGGAGGCAGAUGUCAGCUGGAUCCGGAUGGGAGCGGUCACCCUCACUCACCUGAGUCCCCACCUGCCUCACUCCGUCCAUCUGUGAUACCUACACGAUCCUGCUUUGGAAACCCAUCAGCUGUUCC